GUAGGUGGCAAGCGUUGUCCGGAAUUAUUGGGCGUAAAGCGCGCGCAGGUGGUUCUUUAAGUCUGAUGUGAAAGACCCCCGGGCUCAACCGGGGAGGGUCAUUGGAAACUGGGAACUUGAGUGCAGGAGAGGAAAGUGGAAUUCCACGUGUAGCGGUGAAAUGCGUAGAUAUGUGGAGGAACACCAGUGGCGAAGGCGACUUUCUGGCCUGUAACUGACACUGAGGCGCGAAAGCGUGGGGAGCAAACAGGAUUAGAUACCCUGGUAGUCCACGCCGUAAACGAUGAGUGCUAAGUGUUGGGGGGUUUCCGCCCCUCAGUGCUGCAGCUAACGCAUUAAGCACUCCGCCUGGGGAGUACGGUCGCAAAGACUG
rnacentral:rRNA from 1 species